rnacentral:misc_RNA from 1 species
GGUUGUUUGGUUGCCGGGAUAAUCAAGGAAUAUAUAGAUCAUGUUUUCAUGUUUAAGAACUAGAACUAAUCAACAGAAUCGUGAAAGAUCAAUAUAAAAAUCUUUAGAGGGUCAACAGAAACAAGAACAGCUACAUAGGACGAAGACAUGCAAACAAGAAAUUAUUGCUUCAAGCUCAGAUGAAUCAAUAAAGACAAGAAAAAAAAA